GAAACAGACACUGUGUUACUAGGAAGUGGCAGCGAGAGCCCAGGAGGAGCUGGAGAGAGAGGCAAGCUUGAGGGACAGCCCAAUGCCUGCCCCCUGUACCAAGUCCCAGUGUACAAUACCUUGCUCUUCUAAGAUCCCGUUAGGCAUCUUCUUGUCGUUGCUGCUGACCACCGCCUUCCUCUGCUUCCGGAACCUUAGAAGCACACACAAGAUGUGUUAAGUCUCAGCACCUCGGGAACCCCCAAGCCCUGAGUGUGGUGAUACCCACCAGGAGCUGGUGAGAGAACGUCAGUGCCUGGGGACACUCCUACCUGAAGAAGUAGGCUGCAAGCAGGAACAGGAGGAGGAGCAGAGGCAGCAGCAGCCAGGGUGCUCUCUUAUCACCACAAAGCUCCCACCCAAAGGGCCCCAUCAAAAGCCUGCUACUCCAGUUAAUGAGUGUGGCUCCUGUGAACUGGUCCAGAGGAGCUAUGUUCUGCAGCUGGUGAACACAUGCUGGCAGGAGUGAGCAGGUCCCCAUGGGAGGCCCCGGAGGGACACCACUGCGCCUGUGGGAAAUUAGUCUAUGGUCUGGAAACCCUGUAAAGCCCUUGAGUGGGGUGAAAGUUGAACCUCUGACCCAAUGGGAGAGCACCAAAUUCCACCGACCUUUUCUAAGAAGCUUUUUCGAAAAAUCUCACAGUACUGAUAGAAGGGACUGUCAGUCGUGUAAGGGAAAUUCCAAUAGCGAUGGUGAUGUUCGCUCACUGGGAAAGGAGCUCUCAUUCCUCUCCGUGCUAGUCAGCCUUCCGAGGCUGUGACAAGACACCUGAGGAAAACAACGGAGGGAGAGCUUCACCCCAAAUACCCUACACUGGAUUGAUUAAUCAACCAAAUGGGAGCCCUUAUGACUCUCCGUAGCCCAUGGGACUGGACCCAGACCUUCAUGAGUGUCUGGGGGGGGAGGGGGGAUGGGUCAUGUUUGAGCCAUAACAGUGUUGGCUCUCACCGCCAGUGUAUCUUCACAUUAAUAAGAAUGUCCAGAUGUGAGCACUCUUUGAAGUUAUGCCAACACGAGGUGUCACUUUGCAUAGGAGGUGUGGCUUUGCACUAAAGGUGCUCUUUCUCUAAUCCACUUGUUUCCCCAGUCCCUUGCUCACUUGGCUCUCCUGAGCAGCCCCCUCGCUAUCACCUGCACUGGCAUCUCACCAGCCUCCUGAGCCCCUUACCAUACCAUGGAUGCCCUGUUCUUCAUAUCAGCCCUCUACCCUAUGCAGAUCACCCUUCUUGAUCAUUGAUGGCAGCUAUCCAUCUGUCUCCCACUCCUUGGGCUCCCUGUCAGCUCCUCUCUGCAUUUGAAUGUGUGGAUCUGUGAGUCAGAGCCACCUGCUUGUCUUGUAUUAUCUACACAGGUGGCUGGAGGAGAAGGAACAGCCCUAACAGCACUUAGUAAAAUUGUCAGAAGAUAGGGAAGCAGGUCUCUGUAGCUGGGGAGCCAGUGCGUUUGGAGGGGCAAGACGAAUAUGUGCUGUUCCUUCAGGCCACUGGUCCUCAUGCUGCAGACAACCCCUUCUCUGAACCUGCAUUAUGAGAGCCCCAAGAAUACAGCCCCCAAGCUAAGCUGUGGGGUUCUGCUUUGGGGAACAAGAAGGUGUGGGAGGCAGUUCCCCUACUUUCACAAGUCUGCAGGUAGCCCUGGCCCUGCUCCAUUCCCCAUCUGGUCACAUCCUGUGUCCUGUUCAUGAAGCACUACCGGUCAGGGAUUGGGUGUGCCAGCUGCACCUGGGGUGUUGGAAAGAGACAGCUGUGCAAUGAGGGCAGUGCUUUGGGAGCCCUCCAGGUACAGACACUUUCAAUGGAAGAGUCGGGGAAAGAUCACUUCCUCCCCUUCAUGACUUUUAUUUGACUUUAUCUGGACAAUAAAUCAGCUAGUGACGUCCUUCCAUCAAGACCCAUAAAUAAACCAACACUUCCAUUACUACUUCCAAGGGAGACUCACAAGCAUUUUGAUAGACUAAUGUUCCCUAUGCUGAAAUCGGCUUCUGUCAUCUCAGAAUAAUUGCCUCAGCAAAUGUGCCCAUCACCUUGGCACCCAGGUCUACCAGUGCCCAGUAACUAAAUGUAUCUGUGAAGGCCAGAAGAGGGUGUCUGAAUCUCCUGGAGCUGUAAGAGGCUGUGAGCUGCCCAGCAGGAAUGCUGGGAACCAAAUUCAGGUCCUCUGUAAGAGCAAGAGUAAGAUCUCUUAACCACUGGGCAUCUCUUCAGCCCCUUCUUUCUCCUUUUCCUUUCCUUUCCUUUCCUUUAUUCCUUUCACCCUUGUCUGUCUCCAUUUGGGGUCUUCCUAAAGGGCAGCAAGAGCCUCUAAUUACAUAUAUGAUGACAUAUCUCACCACUCCUACCUCCUGCCUAGUUCGUCUGUCAGACCCACUACCCCCAGGGAAUGGUUGUCAUUAACAGAGGUUUCAGCCAACCCUGCUCAGCUUCCAGAAGUAGCAAGAACCAUCUGCAUGAACGGAGCCACAGAAUAUGGAUCCCGGUUGGGUCAAUGAGACCUGUUUUAAUUGGACCACAAGACAGGAGAUUUAAGCAGCAGAGAUGACAGGGAUGUGACUUACAGCUAGAGGCUGCUGCACAGACAUCAUUGAUCUACCUGCCUGCUGCAAAGCUCUAUGGGAAGAAAACACACACAAGGAACCCAGAACCACCAGGAAGCAGCAUGGUGAUUCCCACGCAAUGAGAGCAAGAGGGAACAGGCAAGGGAAUUUCCCUGUGCCCUCAUCUAGGGCUCAAUGGACUGGCUUAUGCCCUCCAUAGCCAUUAGGAGUAGAAAGUUCUAGAAAGCACAUGCAGAGACUAUAUUCUAAAGGUGAAGGAAUGAGCAUUAUUUCCCGUGACAGUGACUUGAGCAGCUUAUCAAAGAUCCCAGAGAAACAGUUGGUGUGCCCUCUUGAUAGGUGUUGGGGUGAUAAGAGAGACAUGCUUUGGUCAAAAAUCCAUCAAACCUUAGGCUUGAGGUCUGUGCAUGUUUGCCCUUAUUGUGUAAUUCCACCUUUAGAAGAGGGCUGCUUUCAGAACACAGUGGAAAACGAGGCAUGUAGCUCAGUUGACAGAACGUUGGCAGCAACCACGAGACCCUGGGUACCAUCUCCAGCAUGAGCUAGAAGAUCAGUGAGGCCACGUGCACACCUGUAACCCAGGCACUCCGGAGGUGGAGGCAAGGGGGGUCAGCAGCUCAAGGUCAUCCCUGGCUAUAUAGCACAUUCAGGGUCCCAAGGCAGUCCGAGUUACAAGAAAUUCCAUCUCAAAAACAACGAGACCAAAGCCAGUGUCUGGCUCCCUUCUAGGCAGCAGGUUCCAAUGUGUAGCUUCUAUACUCUGAUGUAUUCUCAGUCAUAGAUCAGCACCCGGACACCCUUCAUCCCAGGUAGGGAAACAGCUCUCUGUGUGUCUUGAAGGGGCCGAGGCCACAGGCAGAAAGGGUGCUAUCCAAAUGCUACUGGUAUGAAUUCAUUACUGUGACUCUAUCUAGCCCUGUUGGUGGGCUGCACUAAACCUUUAGUGGAGAUUGCC
rnacentral:lncRNA from 1 species